ensembl:ncRNA asRNA:CR45326 antisense RNA:CR45326
AACUACUCUCCUCGAUUUUGAAAAUACUUCAAACUUUAAAGUAACUGAAAUAUCAAUUUUAUAAGAAUUCCAACUAAAAAAGAGCAUAAACUAUAUAGCUAGUUGGAAAUAGGCUAUCCCCUUAGUAAGGUAACCUAAAAUAUCGUUAUAACCACAUCAUGCGAAGAACAACAGGUGCACGCAUAUGUUUCCGCAACCGGAAUGGGGUCACCUGUGGCCAAAAAUAAACCAGGAGCGGCGCAGAAACUCACCGCGCAACAGACUGUAGUUGGUGGUGCCGUUCAGGAAGCCCUCGCACUCCUGCAUGUAAGCCACCCAGUCGAUCUCUGUGUAGGGCACCCGCUGGAUGACCACCACGUUGAUGACCAGCUCCGCCAGGAGCACGAAGAGGCCAACUAUGGGCAGAGCGGCCGGCUCCAGGAGCAGAUACUUGAAGAAGCGCACGUUGAGGUACUUGUCCAGGAUGGAGUCCACCAGGGUGCCCGACUUCUUGCGCCGCACCGCCGGACGGUGGCUGGCGGCCUUUGGCGGGGCCAUUUCUGUGAUAACCGGCGAAAAUUAAUUAAAAUUCAACUUGAACCGAAAAACAACCAGGGCGGCACUAUCAAAAUCAGCUGUUGCGCCUCCCAUCGAUAGCAGUCCAACUGGAUUUUGCAUGCUAUCGAUAUUUUCCCAAUUUAAAUUUGUAGUUCUAACAGCGAGCACCAGUGGCGUCUUCCGCUUCCGGUUGUUGCUUGGUUUUCAAGAAAAGAAAAUUUAAUUUUAUCACGC